rnacentral:rRNA from 1 species
AUUAGGCUCAGGAUAACGCUGGCGGCGUGCUUAACACAUGCAAGUCGAGCGAUGAAGUUUCCUUCGGGAAACGGAUUAGCGGCGGACGGGUGAGUAACACGUGGGUAACCUGCCUCAUAGAGUGGAAUAGCCUUCCGAAAGGAAGAUUAAUACCGCAUAAUGUUGAAAGAUGGCAUCAUCAUUCAACCAAAGGAGCAAUCCGCUAUGAGAUGGACCCGCGGCGCAUUAGCUAGUUGGUGGGGUAACGGCCUACCAAGGCGACGAUGCGUAGCCGACCUGAGAGGGUGAUCGGCCACAUUGGGACUGAGACACGGCCCAGACUCCUACGGGAGGCAGCAGUGGGGAAUAUUGCACAAAUGGGGGAAACCCUGAUGCAGCAACG